AUGCUCGACCAUGUCUUCGGCCAUGCCCGCCCGGGCUCAAACCCCCCUCCCCCACGAGCUCCUGGUCAACGCGCCGCUCUCUCGAUCCAUUCAGAGUGGCUGCCCCUUCUCUCCUCCGCUCGCCGCUUGGCCGUAGAAAAGAAGUCCCGGCAGCGGACAUGGCCGCCGCCUCUCUACAUUGCCGUCGCCAACCACCAUGGGGGCAGCUUCCGCUACACGCGCCCCGUCCUGCAGAGCGCGCUCCAACUCAUGGGCUGCAAGCCACGCCACGCUUUCAGGGAUCUUUGUCUACUUCAGUUUGUUUGUUCUGGUCAUCCUUACCAUAAUACCAUCUGCAUAUUUAUGUGUUUUGCACCAUUCCCCCUUCGGUUAUGGCUCGUGAACUUAAUUACGAUCCAAGGAACACCAGAACAAUCUGACAUUCCAGUGACUGCUAAUGACAUGUGUUUCCUUGUUGAAUGGCCAUCCCAUGCUCGCCACAACCGUGCGCUACUACAGGAUGAAUCUGGUGGACAGAAGAAGAAAGGGCGAGGUGUUCUAAAAGGUUUUAAAGCACCUAAGAAGCGUUUUUCCAAUGGAUCUGCAAAGCUAAAUAUUACAUUCUUUGAAAAAUUGGGUGGUACAGUAGGAAUGAAUGUUCAUUCAAGGAUGACGUGGUAG
rnacentral:rRNA from 1 species